GACGGAGGAUGCAAGCGUUAUCCGGAAUGAUUGGGCGUAAAGCGUCCGCAGGUGGCAGUUCAAGUCUGCUGUCAAAGACCGGGGCUUAACUUCGGAAAGGCAGUGGAAACUGAACAGCUAGAGUAUGGUAGGGGCAGAGGGAAUUCCUGGUGUAGCGGUGAAAUGCGUAGAGAUCAGGAAGAACACCGGUGGCGAAGGCGGGUCUCUGGGCAGUAACUGACGCUGAGGAGCGAAAGCGUGGGGAGCGAACAGG
rnacentral:rRNA from 1 species